rnacentral:rRNA from 1 species
GUACUCGAGUGGCGAACGGGUGAGUAACACGUGGGUGAUCUGCCCCGAACUUUGGGAUAAGCCUGGGAAACUGGGUCUAAUACCGAAUAGGACCUUACAUCGCAUGGUGUUUGGUGGAAAGCUUUUGCGGUUUGGGAUGGGCCCGCGGCCUAUCAGCUUGUUGGUGGGGUAAUGGCCUACCAAGGCGACGACGGGUAGCCGACCUGAGAGGGUGAUCGGCCACACUGGGACUGAGACACGGCCCAGACUCCUACGGGAGGCAGCAGUGGGGAAUAUUGCACAAUGGGCGCAAGCCUGAUGCAGCGACGCCGCGUGAGGGAUGACGGCCUUCGGGUUGUAAACCUCUUUCACCAGGGACGAAGCGUGAGUGACGGUACCUGGAGAAGAAGCACCGGCCAACUACGUGCCAGCAGCCGCGGUAAUACGUAGGGUGCAAGCGUUGUCCGGAAUUACUGGGCGUAAAGAGCUCGUAGGCGGUUUGUCGCGUCGUCUGUGAAAUUCUGCAACUCAAUUGUAGGCGUGCAGGCGAUACGGGCAGACUUGAGUACUACAGGGGAGACUGGAAUUCCUGGUGUAGCGGUGAAAUGCGCAGAUAUCAGGAGGAACACCGGUGGCGAAGGCGGGUCUCUGGGUAGUAACUGACGCUGAGGAGCGAAAGCGUGGGUAGCGAACAGGAUUAGAUACCCUGGUAGUCCACGCCGUAAACGGUG